rnacentral:rRNA from 1 species
GAUGAACGCUGGCGGCGUGCCUAAUACAUGCAAGUCGAGCGAACGGACGAGAAGCUUGCUUCUCUGAUGUUAGCGGCGGACGGGUGAGUAACACGUGGAUAACCUACCUAUAAGACUGGGAUAACUUCUGGAAACCGGAGCUAAUACCGGAUAAUAUUUUGAACCACAUGGUUCAAGAGUGAAAGACGGUCUUGCUGUACUUUAUAAAUGGAUCCGCGCUGCAUUAGCUAGUUGGUAAGGUAACGGCUUACCAAGGCAACGAAGCAUAGCCGACCUGAGAGGGUGAUCGGCCACAUUGGAACUGAGCCACGGCCCAGACUCCUACGGGAGCCAGCAGUAGGGAAUCUUCCGCAAUGGGGGAAAGCCGGACGGAGCAACGCCGCGUGAUGGAUGAAGUUCUUCGGAUCGUAAACCUUUGUUAUUAGGGAAGAACAUAUGUGUAAGUAAAUGUGCACAUCUUGACGGUACCUAAUCAGAAAGCCACGGCUAACUACGUG